UUUUUCUAUAUGAAAUCAUCUGUUUUUUUCUAUUGGUAGUUUUCUACUGACAAGAGGGUGGAUGAGCGCCCCAGCAUAAUCAAGAUAGUUAUCUGCUCACUCCUCACAAGAGGGUGAAUGAGCUGCCCAACAUAAUGAAGAUGGUUUUCUACUGAUUUUGAUUCUUUAAAAGGGACAAAUACCUUUGAUGACUUAAAAAGUUUGGACUAUAGUUGAUCAUAGGUGAUGAAAAUACAUAAUCUUUUUACUUAGUGAUAUUUAUCCAGGUGAUUCCUAGAUUCUAAAACAAUGUGAUGUGCAAUAACUUUGAUAACUUAUCUCAGCCUCUGGUGGUAAGGACUUAUCUAUUGAGUUGUUUGACUUUCUUAACUAAUCUGGGGAUUCAAAUGCCUGGAUUGUUGAUCUUUUCUAAUCUUAGAUGCUUUAGUUUCUAGUUCAGGCUCUUUUACGAGUAGAAUGUACUCUCCUUUUCAUAUUUUCAUCAAGGGAUACCAAAAUAUUACGAUUUAAUUUGUGACAUGAAUACUUCUCAUGAUCUGUUUCCAUGCAGAAUUUGCUUGAUGUUGAUGCCCAUAGAAAAAUCCACAUUUGUGAUAACAUUAUGUUGGUUGAGCUUGUGUCUGUGACCAAAAUUGGAGCUUUUGAUGACAGGCCCAUCUUCUUUUAAGUUUAUGGAUUGUGUUUGGGACUUUCAGCAUAUAUUUUAGUGUUUUUUUCUUUUAUUCGCUUGUGACUUUUUUUUUCCGAGUUCUGAGGUUGUUCAUGGUGAUGUGGUGUUGCCAGAUCAAUAAAGUCACAUUCAGCUUGACACUAGAGAUCAUUCAUCAGUAUGCAAAGGAUCAAUCCCAAAGCUUAUAAGGUCCUUGGAGAAAGCCAUUGAAGGCACCUGCAUUGCCGCUAUGGGAUCCCAUCCACUACGAUAUAAAUACUCCUAGAUAGUUCAUUGACAUGAAAUUCUCAGUGUUAUAGUUGGGAUGGGACAGAAAGAUGCUUGUAUUGGUGAUGAGGCGCAAUCCAAGAGAGCAUCUGAAUAUUACAUUCAGGCGGGACCCAACUAAUUAUAUGCCACGAAUUAACAAGUUGGACUCCACCAAGGACAGGGAGCAGAAAUCUGCUGGCUCUUAUUACUAGCUACCUGGAUGAUUGAUGUAAUCUCCACAGGCAUUUACCCUCCCAUGGAUGUUCCGCUGUUUGAAGGCUGCUUGAGCUGCUUGCUUCAAUUCUAAUGCAAGGCCAGAGUAAUUCGGCUUUAUGUUGAGAGAGUAGGUUUUUUUUUUUUUUUUUUUCCUUUAAAAAAAUAUGUAAGUGUGCUUCAAUCAACAAGUCAUGGAGUCGUGGUUGCUUGUCAUUCAA